rnacentral:lncRNA from 1 species
ACCCUCAGAGACUGACCCCAACUCUCCCCCCAGGAGAAGCCAGGAGUCCGCAGAGACCCUGCCCUGCGAGCAUGCCAUGCCUGGCCUCCAGAGCCCUGUGGUGUUGACCCCAGGCCCCAAGACCACCAGGAGGCGCCUCCUGCUCUUCAGGAACUGGCUGGUCACCACCAAGCAGAGGUCUACCAAGAGCUUCAGAUCCAAAGAGAAGCUGCCUCUCUCUGACUUGCAGGCAGCGUCCUGGGACAGAGAGGAACUGCUGGAUGAUGCCUGUGAUCUCAUUCCCAGUCGAGGAAAUUCUCCCUUCCUCCCCGUGGCCUUGGACCCUUGUGUCACAGAGUUUCAGUGAGUACCAGCCACUUAUACUGCAUAAUGACCACACAAUGUUCCAGGAGCCCCCAGUCCUCCCAUUACUCUUGACCAUCACAACAGACGGAACAUGGACGUGUCUGCGGAAGGGAGACCCAGGUGUGGCUGCAGUAUGGUCCCCUGAGGGUUUCUCAGUCUGUUUUUACCUUUUCC